ACAGAGGGUGCGAGCGUUGUCCGGAAUCACUGGGCGUAAAGGGCGCGUAGGCGGUCCGCUAAGUGUGUGGUGAAAGCUCGGGGCUCAACCCCGAGUCGGCCGUGCAAACUGGUGGACUUGAGCAUGUCAGAGGCAGGCGGAAUUCCGGGUGUAGCGGUGGAAUGCGUAGAGAUCCGGAAGAACACCGGUGGCGUAGGCGGCCUGCUGGGACAUGACUGACGCUGAGGCGCGACAGCGUGGGGAGCAAACAGGA
rnacentral:rRNA from 1 species